AGAGGAGAUAAAUCAGUUUGCCAUUGGUCCAAGAAUUGACACAAAUCAAUAAAAAAUAAAUAGCUAUAACACAGCACUAAUGUGAUAAAGAAAGAAAUACAAAAACCAAUGACAAGGGAAGAAUUAUUUAACAGAUGAUUUGAAGAAAACUGACAAGCUAUUUAUUUCUUUUAAAAAAAUCAGCUGUGAUUCUAUUCUUACCAAACAGUAUUUGCAUUUGAAAAGAGAAGGGCAUUAUACAUCAUCUAGUAAAGAAUGAGGCCAACCUUUCUAUUGCUCUUCCUCUUAAAAUCUUGUUUAACAGGAAAAAAAAAAACCAGACAAAUGCAAAUGCAUAUGAACAUGUUUUAUCUCAUGAUUGAUCAAAAUGUGUACCUAUGUGUAUAUGUUUGUGUAUUUAAAAUCAUAUUCUGCCUCAUAAGUAAAUAGAAAAACAGAAGUUAAAACUACAAUGAAAUGUGACUCUCAACCUACCAAAGUAGUAUCAUUUUUAAAAAGACUAAUUGUAAAAAGAAAUUUUUUCAAAUGACUGGCAGAAGAAAAAGCUUUUGCAAUCUCUUUGCAAAGUAAAUGACAAUAUGUAUCAAAUGUGUCUUUCUUUUUUUAUAUCAUAUUUACUUUAAUAUUUUCAAAUGUGUUUUUUGAAAGCAUGUUUUUUAACUUAAUGACUCUACAUCUAGGAAUCUGGCAUAAAGAAAAUACUCAAGAAUGCAGAUAAUGAUUUGUCUGCAAUAUGUUUACUUAAGCACUAGUUACACUGGAGAAAAACUGGUAACAACCUAAAUAAACACUAAUAGGAAAUGGUUGAAUAUUUUCUAAUAGAUCGAAAUAGUGGAAUUUAAUGUAGGGAUUUUUAAAAAAUGUGCUUUCAAAAGCACAUUUGUCCAUCUGGAAUAUAACUUCUGAUACAGUAGUACAAGAAAACCCACAAUA
rnacentral:lncRNA from 1 species